UUUAGAGCAUGAUGAACCCAGCCGUUAGCAGGAAGGCGGCACAACAACGUCAGCGGCGCACCUACAGAGUGAGAAGAGAUAUUUUCGCUGAGUACGACGAUGCUGAGUUACUGAAAAGAUUCAGAUUGGACCGUGCUGGUAUUGUUGCAGUGACUGAUAUAGUGAGAGACAAGCUGCAAAGUAAAACUGAAAGAAAUAGAGCCUUGACCCCUGAGAUGGUGGCCAUCACAUUACGAUAUUUAGCCACAGGAAAAAUGCAACAGUGCAGUUGUGAUGAUUUUGGAACAACGCAGCCCACUAUCAGCCGUGCAAUAUCACAGACAAUUGAUGCACUGGCUGACCCAGAAGUAAUCUGCCAGUUCGUGGCUUUCCCUCACACCCAGCGUGAAGUGCAGCAAAAACAGGCAGAGUUCAUGCAAGUAACUCAGUUUCCCGGUGUUGUGGGAGUGAUUGAUGGUACUCAUAUAAGAAUUGUGUCUCCUCAUGUCGAUGAACAUGUAUAUGUGAACAGGAAACGCUAUCACAGCAUAAAUGUGCAAGUAGUAUUUGAUGCUCACUAUAAGAUUCUUGACAUUGUGGCAAGGUGGCCUGGCUCAGUCAACGAUGCAAGAAUACUAGAUAAGUCAGCACUCAAACUGAUGUUUGAGGAACAACAUGUACCUGCAGGAUGCUACCUUCCCGGGGACAGUGGCUAUCCCUGUAAGCAGUGGCUCCUCACUCCUUACCUUCGCCCUCAAACUGUUGCACAAGCUAAUUAUAACAGUUCCAGUACCUUACGAUGCAGCCGAGGGGACUGACGCCACCACCACCACUGCCACCACCGCCACAACAAGGGUUAUUCAAAUGGGGAACAUGCUUCAGGUGUUGCCCCAAGAUGCCUCAGCCCCGCAGCCCCACUUCCCCAUGAUAGUGCAGGCAGGGAAUGUCAUACAGGUUGUUCCAGCUGACAACACGCAGGUAUUAGGGGCAGAAGUCGUUGGAGUUGGUCGGGUCAUGCAAGUGGUCGGAGUCCCAGGCUUUCCCCCGACCCCAGCCCCAGACCCCUGCCCCAGCCACCCCUCUCCCUGUGACCCCUGCCCAGUCAUCCCUCACCCCCUCCUGCCCCCUGCGGUGCUGCCAGCGGGGGUGAUGGGAGGUGGAGGUGGGCCACACACACCUGGGUUAGCUGUGGCUUGGCUUAUCUCCCUCCUCAGCAGCAAAUCCCGAGGAUCAACGAGGACAUGGUGGACCCAGAGAUUGCAGCAGCAGCAAGAGAGAGAGAGAGAAGCAAGAGAGGAGGGAGAGGAAGGAGAGGAGGAGGAGAGAGAGGGAGGCCAGGAGGGAGGCACGUCAGAGAGAGAGGGAGAGGAAGAGGUUGAUUCUGUUACAACAACAACUGCAACAACAACAACAGUUAGUCAGUGAGGAGGGGGAGGGGCCGUCCUCUGAUGCUGAGGAUGAGGUAUUGUUCAGGGAGGCCAUGUCGGAGGUGCCGGUGGUGGGGUCGCCAGUUCCGGAGUACGAGGUGGAGGAGGAAAAGGAAGAGGAGGACGAGGAGGAGGCACGGAUAAGGAAGAAGAAAAGAUUAUUACCUGUAGCCCUCCCUCCAGCUGAUAAGGGGAUAUUAAGGAGCCCUUCCUACAGGUUCGUUCGAUGCAAGGAGUUGGCACAGGAGGCGUCCGAGGCUGUGUAGAGCGGCCGUCUGAACCUGGUGCCACAGCUUACUAUGUUCAACAGGUGCGUGUGUGUGUGUGUGUGUGUGUGUGUGUGUGUGUGUGUGUGUGUGUGUGUGUGUGUGUGUGUGUUUUGUGUGGUCAUUUCACUAUCUAUCUAUCUGUUUAGUUUGUCUCCAUCUGUCUGUCUUUCUGUCAUUGGUCUGUCUGUCUGUCUGUGUAUUGCAAUGAUUUUUCAGUUAUGUAUUUUAUUUUUUAUUCUUGUGUACUUGUGUCUGUCUGUAUGUAUGUAUGUAUCAGUCAGUGAGUCAGUCAGUCAGUCACUCAGUUAGUCAGUUAGUCAGUCAUUCAGUCAGUCAGUUAGUCAGUCAUUCAGUCAGUUAGUGAGUUAGUCAGUUAGUCAGUCUGUCAGUCACUCACACAGUGUUAAUCCUCCUCUUCCUCCUCCUCCUCCUCCUCCUCCUCCUCCUCCUCCUCCUCCUCCUCCUCCUCCUCCUCCUCCUCCUCCUCCUCCUCCUCCUCCUCCUCCUCCUCGUCCACCUCCUCCUCCUCCUCCUCCUCCUCCUCCUCCUCCUCCUCCUCCUCCUCCUCCUCCUCCUCCUCCUCCUCCUCCUGUUCCCCACCACCCCUGCCGAGAGGUGAGUGUAUGUACGUGUGUGUGUGUGUGUGUGUGUGUGUGUGUGUGUGUGUAGUAAUAAUAGUAAUGCUAUGUACAUAUAUAAAUACUGUUAAUAUUAUUGAUAAAAAAUAUUGAUGAUGAUGAUGAUGAUGAUUCAGUGGUGAUUAUGAAAAUGUGCAUUACAAUAUAGGGUAGAUAUUAUUGUUAUUACCUGUGUGUGUGUGUGUGUGUGUGUGUGUGUGUGUGUGUGUGUGUGUGUGUGUGUGUGUGUGUGUGUGUGUGUGUGUGUGUGAGGAAUAAUUGAAUAAUUGAAUAAUUGAUGCUCUCUCCUUUGCUAUUCAUUAUAUACAUGGACAGAUGCCUGAAGGAAGUGUGUGUAAGGGAGGAUAAAGAGAUCAUGCUGGCCUAUGCAGACGAUGUCGCUGUCGUGACAGGAAGCCAACAAGAUCUUCAAGAGGCCAUGACAAGAUGGAAUGAUGUUUUAAAUAGGGAAGGAAUGAGAAUGAACAAACAAAAAACUUAUUUACUAGUGGACAAGCAACAAGUGAUGGUGUGGCUCUGAGCCACUGUAGUAGGGAUGUUAUGGUUUAAGUGUAGGAAGUUGCAAAUGCUCACCUAACAAUUGCACCUUAGUAGAAAAACACAAACAGGAAGUUUAUGCAAGUUUUUAUCCUUAUAUAAAAUGUUGUAUUGCAUCAAACCUCCAUACAUUACUGUCUCUAUCCAGUAUGAGACCGGUGUUCAGGAAGCACAAGCAUGUGCUGAAUAACAAGAAGCCGGCAUUGGUGAAGGUGACAACAUUUCAUCUAUUUAUACAUACUUUUUAUUAUUAAAGCUUAUCUUAUAAUUAUUUCUGAAGAGAUUGACUAAUUUUUGUAGUAUUUAUGACUUAGAACUAUGAUAAAGCUAUGAAUUGAUAUAAUUCCUGAUUUG